rnacentral:rRNA from 1 species
CAGCAGCCACGGGAAAACGAAGGGUGCAAGCGUUAAUCGGAAUUACUGGGCGUAAAGCGCGCGUAGGUGGUUUGGUAAGAUGGAUGUGAAAUCCCCGGGCUCAACCUGGGAACUGCAUCCAUAACUGCCUGACUAGAGUACGGUAGAGGGUGGUGGAAUUUCCUGUGUAGCGGUGAAAUGCGUAGAUAUAGGAAGGAACACCAGUGGCGAAGGCGACCACCUGGACUGAUACUGACACUGAGGUGCGAAAGCGUGGGGAGCAAACAGGAUUAGAGACCCCGGUAGUCCCUGUCUCUUAUAA